GUCUGGUUCCUGGCGUCUGGUGCCUAAACCUAGCUGAGCCAGGCAGCCUGUACACCGGACGCACAGGCACAGCGUCCGGUGCUUCUCGGCCAGCGUUCGGUGAGUGUUUUCUCAGCGAUAAACACUCCCGCGACUUCUCCAAAUUUCCCACCAACGCAAUAGAAAAUAUACACUUAAUUUUCUCAAAGGAACCCACACCCCUCUCGACCCUAGGAACUCCUCCUCCUUUGUAAAGUGUGCUAACACCAACAAGUGUCCACCACCAAAGUGCAUGUGUGUUAGCUUUUCACAAACAUUUGCAUCAAAGGAGUUAAGUUAGCACUUUACCAGAUCCUAAUGCAUAUGCUCAAGAUAUGGACCUAGUAGCACUUGAUUCGAGAGAUGACCGUGAUUUCCCCUCUUGAUAGUCGGCUAUCUAUCCUAAACCCGGUCAAUCACUUCUCUACUCAUCUUAGACUGACAAAAGUAAAACCCUAUGUUUAUACCUUUGCCUUGGUAACUUUGCUCCUCGUCUAUCAUUAUGAUCUCCACAUCAUGCUUCAUCUCUUUGUAAUCAUGUGGCCACCUUUCCAUGCCACCAUGCACCUUCAUCACAUGUGUUUCUUUGCCUAACUCAAAUCACUUAAAUACAAGGCAUUAGCGACUUGGUGUCAUUAAUUACCAAAACCAAACUUGGGCUUUCAAUCUCCCCCUUUUUGGUCAUUGAUGACAACCAUUACAAAGAUAUGAAAUUAAAUCAUAAUGAACUUGAAUUGCUUGUCCAAAGCAUUUUAAUCGUGAGACAAGGUUGGACAAACAUUUCAAUUACGGUUUUGGUAGUACUAGCUCCCCCUACAUAUGUGCUUCCAUGAGUUUGGUUCAAGUUUGCAAAUAUGCAUGAAUUGGAAUUUUGGGAGAUUUAUUACUACCAAAAUGAUGCUAAGGUAUAUAGAAUGGACCUUUGAAGCGUGAUACCAAUCGGAGUUGCCAAUAUACCAUUCUUAGCACCAAUGUAGCUAGACAUACAUCAAAAACUCAAGAUACGUCGUGAGAUCACAUUAUAUGUCUAGAUACCACAUGAAAAUAAAACUCUAUGCUAGAUUUCAAAGCACCAUUCAAGUUCUAUUUCUAGCAAGCACCAAUCAAACAAGAGUUGUGAAUUUAAACUUGCAAUGCAACAUCUCAUUAUGUUAGUGCACAUACAAAUGCAACAAAUGGUUCAUGAGCUUGGUCCCCCUAUUUGUGUGCUCAAGUUUAAAAAGUUUUCUCUCCUUCCUUUUGUUUCUCUGCCCCUUUUUGACUUUAUCUUUGUUUCUCUCCCCCUUUGUCAUCAAUGACCACAAAGGUUCAAAUUUUAGUGAGAAUUAAGUCAAUCAAUGUGAGGGUCAAAUUAUGGUUCAAUCUAGAUCACUUGCCUAGAGAAUGUAAUUUGGUUUUAUCCAAGGACAAGCUUUUUCACACCUCAUGAAAUAUAAGGGUUAUCUUGACCAUGUUGAAUUACACAUCAUAAGCUCAUAUUCUAGAUUCAACACUAGGCUCACAAGCUCACAAACAUGUCAUAUGCUACCACUAGAUCAAUCAAACAUACAAGCAAUAGUGGUACCAUACAUACAUCAAAAUCUUUUGAUUUUCAUGAAUGAGCCUAUUUGCCAUGCAAACAUGUCUAUAUGUUCUAAUCAUGUCCUUAGCAAAGUAUGAAUGCUAUGUCAACCAACAUUACCUUGCUUUGAGAGGCAUGUCAUAUAGAAAUGUGGGGGUGCACUCAUCUCAAGUUGGAGAAGUCAAGUAUGUUCAAUUCAUUCCUCAACUUGCAAAAUCUCUUCUCAUCAAGUGCCUUUGUGAAGAUGUCAGCUAGUUGAUCUUCGAUGCCAAUGCUUUCAAUGCUAAUGUUACCCUUUUGUUGAUGGUCUCUUAUGAAAUGGUGCCUUAUGUCAAUGUGCUUGGUUCUUGAAUGUUGAACCGGAUUUUGUGUCAUCUUGAUUGCACUCUCAUUGUCACAUAGCAAAGGCACAUUCUUGAAUUUGAUUCCAAAGUCAUUCAAGGUAGCUUUCAUCCAAAGCAAUUGUGCACAACAACUACCGGCACUAAUGUAUUCAGCCUCGGCGGUUGAUAGUGCAACACUAUUUUGUUUCUUUGAUGACCAUGAAACUAGAGACCUUCCUAGCAAUGGACAAGUGCCACUUGUGCUCAUUCUAUCAAUCUUGCAUCCACCAUAGUCGGAGUCCGAAUAUCCAAUCAAUUCAAAGUUAGACCCCUUGGGAUACCAUAAUCCAACAUCAUGAGUGCCCUUGAGUUACCUCAAUAUUCUUUUGGUUGCCUACAAGUGACUCUCUCUAGAUGAAGCUUGGUAUCUUGCACAUUUGCACACACUAAACAUCACAUCCGGCCUUGAUGCGGUGACAUAGAGCAAACUUCCAAUCAUGGACCGGUAUAGCUUUUGAUCUACCAUGUUUCCACUUUCAUCACUACCUAAUUGAUCAUUUGUGCCCAUAGGUGUGCUCAUUGGUUUAGCUUCUUGCAACCCAAACUUCUUGAUCAUGUUCUUGAUGUACUUUCCUUGUCUUACAAAAGUGCCAUUCUUCAUUUGCUUGAUUUGAAGACCAAGGAAGUAACUAAGCUCUCCAAUCAUGGACAUCUCAAACUCAUUUGCCAUCAUUCUUCUAAACUCUUCACAAAAGUCUUGAUUGGUUGAUCCAAAGAUGAUAUUAUCAACAUAGAUUUGCAACACAAACAAGUCAUUGCCUAGUUUCUUAGUGAAGAGGGUAGUGUCAACCUUUCCCAUCUUGAACCCUUUAGAGAGAAGGAAAUCUCUCAAUCUCUCAUACCAUGCUCUAGGUGCUUGCUUCAAACCAUACAAUGCCUUCUUGGUCUUGUACACAUGGUUGGGUUUCUUGUCAUCUUCAAAACCAGGAGGUUGUUCAACAUAAACUAACUCAUUGAUGUAUCCAUUGAGAAAUGCACUGUUCACAUCCAUGUAACACCCCAGUGUUAUGGUUGCAUCCUUCAUAUGCAUAACAUGAGUAUCAUCAUCUUCAUAAGUAUAUCCUGAUCAUCAUUUACCUUGGGUCAUGUCAUUUUAUGCAUAAGUGUAAUUUAACUUGCUUAAUUAUGCUUUUUAUGCUUAUGUUUGUGUGUGCCAUGCUCUUGUUUGUGUUCUAUGCCUUGGUAAAUAGUUCAUCUAUGCUUAACUCAACAUUUGGAACAAUGUUCAUGUUGGUCACAUCUCCAAAUUAAGUACCUAAGUCCUACUUUCACUUAUAGGCCCAAAAAAUCUCUUUUGCUUAGGCUUUUAAAAAGUGUUUCAUAAAAUGUUUACAUGUCAAAACUUCCUAAAUCAAAGUUGUAGCACAUUUUAUAAGGAACAAAAGUUGUUUCAUGGCCAUCUCAUGAAAAUGAUCACAACUUGAUCAAAAAGUGCUUGCAAGGCAGAUUUGAGGGCUGUUUUGACACUUAGCAAGAUUUUGCUAAGUCCUGGCGCCACCAGUUUGCUUCAUCAGUUUUGGAAACUUCAUUGUUGACGGUCCUUAAGUAUCAAAUUUAAUUAUCAAAUAAACAAAGAUAAGGAUCCAAAUGCAAUCAACAUCUAGACUUAGGGUUUUAUCUGACAGAAUUCCACGAGUUUUGGUGUUUGUCUAUUUCUGCAGGGUGAUAUUAGGAAAUAUGGAAGAAAGGCCCACACGUCGGGAUUACAUAGAGAUAUUAACGUGCCGCACAAUUAUCUUACAUCUAGAAGACUCCAGAAGCCACGGGAAUGAAGCGGAGGCGAAACGAGGCCUGGCCCUGGGCGCCUGCCCAGGAGACCAGGGUGCCCGCCCACCUCUGGAGUCCAAACAGGGCUCUCUUUCAGGAUCAAUCUCCACCGACCUAAAGGAUCAAGGAUAACCAUUCAAUCAAUGUCGGUUUGAUCCAACGGCCCAUAUUCACUUGAAGGGACUAUAAAACCAGACCCCCUGGCCCCUGGAGGAGGGAGCAUCUCAACCCUAAUUCAUUAUUCCUUAAGGGAGAAGAAGCCUAUGAUCAAGCCUAGAGCCACCACAUCAAUUAGACAUCUAGAUUAGCAUAGCUACAUAGGAUUAGAACUAGAAGGAGUCAAUCUUCGAUUGGUUUCUGGAUUUGUCAAGAGGAUUCUUGGUAAUUCUCUAAUUGUUCAUCUUUGUUCUUCAAUAUUAUGAAUAUGACUUUGUUCUACUUCAAUAUAUUGCUUAUGACUUUGCUCUACUUGUUUAUAUUCAAGAUUAUAUUGUUCUUAGUUUAUCAUAGUUAUAUACUUGGCUUAGUUAGAUUGGAUCUAUAUACAUGUUUAGGAUCGUAUAGAGUUUAUCCAUUGGAUCCUGGGGUAAAUGAUAGAUAUUGUGUAGGCGUGGUGCUUAUACCGUAUUUAUCUGUGAUUGUACCCAAUAUGCCAGAUCGCGGGGUAGUUCGUGACAGUGACAGCUUCAUUGAUUCUUAUAUAGUGCCCCUCUCAUGUAUUGGGCUGGCAGAGCAACAUUAUUACAGGGGAGUGAUUGUUGUGUUUCUCAUUUACCUUGCUAAUAUCACUAUGCAUGGGCGUAGUCUUGUCUCACAAUGAUUGCUAAGUAUAAUUGCACUAACUAUGAUAAUGCUAGACUAUAUAGUUGAGAAUAACUUAGGAAAUAUUCUUGUAGUUCGUUCUAAUUCCAUGCUAAUGACUUUCUAGAGUAUCUAAUUGAGGUGCUUAUCAUAUUUAUUAUGUGGCUAAGUUAUGCUGAUAAGAUUAAUUAUCUUUGUCACUAUUCAUUACUUUAUAUAUUCUUUAUGUGACACUUACCCCUGUAUGAAAAAGUUAGAUAAAUGUUCUCAAUUAUACAUGCAAUGAUAGAUACUCAAUCUCAUAUUCUAUUCUAUAAUCAAUAUUGAUGGUUGCUAAUCCCUUCCCAAUGGUAAAAAUAUAAAUAACGAUACCUGGAAUACUUCCCGGUUAAAAUGCUACAUCGGUAUUAAUCUGUGCGCUUGCAGAUCCCAUUCAUUAUUUAUUUUAGAUGAGCAAUUGCAUAUUUCAAUACCGUGUCUCUCAUAUCAUGCUGGGGAUGACAACUUGGCUUAAGUGGUAUGAGGGAUAGGUUUGGCAUUUUUGGCACCGUUAUCAGAAUUAGAAAACUAAGUCUACUUUUGGUAAUGAUGUUAAGAAUACCCAACAAGCAUUUUUGGCGCCGUUGCCGGGGAAGGUUGAUUACUAAUCAGGAAUGGAUAUAGAUUUUUGAGUCAUCAUUCGCAUCACUAAUCUGAUUGAGCUUAUCAAUUCUUUCAUACAGUUUUACCCCGAUAUUUUCCUAUUUUAUCUUAUGCAGGGUAAUGUAUGAAUAGAAGACAUCUUCCAGGAAACUUUGUUGACAAUCCCGAAGCAUUAUUUAGAAAAACAAGAGCCAAGCUCAAGAAGAGAUCAUCAACACUUCAGCAAGAAGCUUCAUCCAGUCAAGAAGAUCACCGGAACUUGUCUUCAGAAUUUGAAGCCAUGGCGAACAAAUCGAUCCGUGAGUUCUCAGCCCCCACUACGGAUAAUAUCCGCACUGGACCUGCUGCAGAGAUCGAUGGCAACUUUGAGCUCAAGUCUAGACUUAUCAACAUGGUGCAAUCCAACCAGUUCUGUGGAAAGGCACACGAAGAUGCUAGUGCUCAUCUCCAACACUUCCUGGAGAUUUGCAACACAUUCACCAUAUCAGGAGUCCCCGGAGAUGCUAUACUACUUCGCCUCUUCCCAUUCUCACUGUUGGGGAGAGCAAAGCAGUGGUUCUAUGCUACAAAAGAGAAGAAUACUACGUGGGCACUCUGCUCUACAAACUUUCUGGCUAAGUUCUUUCCCAUGGGCAAGACCAAUGCUCUCUGUGGGAAGAUUACAAGUUUUCAGCAACAACAUGAUAAAUCUGUUCUAGAAGCAUGGGAGUGCUUCCAAGACUACAUCCUAGAAUGUCCCCAUCAUGGAAUGGAGAGUUGGCUACUAAUGCAGACGUUUUAUCAUGGGCUCGGCAACAGUGCCCGAGAGACCAUGGAUGCUGCAGCUGGAGGAGCAUUCUUAUCACUCACCAUACCACAAGCCAUAGCUCUUGUGGAGAAGAUGGCGUCCAACCAAAGCUAGAAUGAAGAGAGGACCCAGACAUGCAAGAAAGGUGGAGGUAUGCAUCAGCUCAAGGAGGUAGACAUGCUGUCUGAAAAGCUAGACCUGCUCAUGAAGAAGCUCGACGAUAGAGCUGGAGAUAAGAAGGAAGUUAUGCACAUCUACGACUCUCACAUGACUUGUGAGGAGUGUGGAGAUACUUGACACUCAGGCAAUCACUGCCCUGAGAUGCUUGAGGAUGUGAACUACAUCAACAAUAACAACAACAACUACUACAACCGUCCCCAACAAAAUCAAGGUUGGAAUCAACAGAGGCCUAACUACUCAGGUAAUUAUCAAGGUAAUAAUUUUCCACCUCUGAGAGAGUUAGUGUCUAAUCAAGGAAAGCUAAUGGAUAACCUAUCUAAGAAAUUGGCAUCUAAUGAUAAAAUGCUAGAAAAUAUAAAUAAUAAAAUGGAUAAUUUGUCUACUGCCAUCAAGAAUCAAAUUAGCUUUAAUAAAAUGACUGAAUCUUAGUUAAAUCAAAUAGCUGCUGUUGUUCCUGCUACUAACCCCGGUAUACCAUCACAACCGGAAGGAUUACAAUCUGCAAAUCUUGUAGAUAUGUUUGAUGCAGGUAAUAACUGGAGUACCCCGUCACUGAAUUCACUACUGACCUUCUGCCGGUCAAGAGAGGCGAUCUAGGACGCCCCGUCAUCCCGAUCUCCAUCGACAUGGUGGACGUUCCAGAAGCACUCUGCGACUUUGGCUUUAGUGUCAACAUUAUGCCUAGGGUACUCUAUGAAAAAUUCUUUACAUAUCCUUUAUUAGAAACAACCAUGUGUUUGCAGAUUGCAGAUCAGGCAUUAAGUUUUCCAAAGGGAAUAUUGAAGAACCUCUGCAUCCGAGUUGGUACCUUGUACGCCCCAGCAGACUUCGUGGUGAUAGAGACCGGAAAUGAUGAGAGGGAACCCAUCAUCUUAGGGAGGCCAUUCUUAAACACCUCGGGAGCUAUCAUCUACGCUAGCGCUGCCAAGAUCAGUUUCUACAUCAAAGGGAGGAAGGAGACGUUUUCCUUCAAGAACAAGACUACACAAAUCCCAGAUCAAUCCAGACGUGAAUCAAGGAAGAGGACCAACAGGAGGAACAGGAACAAGCAAGUGUGGACCGAGUCAGCUAAGAUGAUCACUGCAGUUCAUGGAGGUCAAGAUCAUCGACUUAAGUCACCGUUUCUAACCAAGAAGGAUGACCCAGGAAUGCCAAGCAUCUAUUGCUCCAUAAAUGGAUACAACUUCUACACGACGUUUUGCGACAUCGGAUCGGGCGUCAACAUAAUGGCCGCAGUCACCUAUCGGCUCUUGUUCGGAACCAUGCCCUUAAAACCAACAUACAUUCAGCUCCAGAUGGCAGAUCAAACAUUUCAAGAGGUUAAAGGAACAUUAACUGAUGUCCUUGUCAAAAUAGACGAUCAUUUUGUCUACACAGACUUUCAGGUUAUUGACAUGGGAGAAGACGAAUACGAUCCACCCAUCAUCCUUGGAAGACCGUCCCUUAGCACCGUUAAACCAAUCAUCUACGUUGGAACUGGAGAAGUCCAUAUGCACUUCCCCUCAGAGAAGGUAUGCCGCUAGUUUACUGACCCUAACUAUAUCGUUGAAGACUCUAAGCAGGUCAGAAAACGACGCAACCGCAACCAGAGGAGGCAAAUCAUCAAGGACGGAUGGGCAGACUAUGAAGGAGAAGUGAUAAGGUUUGAAGACAUACAGUUUAAAUAGAAUUAUCUUGAGGAGACCAUAGCACCGAGUCAAGUGUGGAGAGAGAAGAUAACUAUACAUGAAGAAAAGGCGCCGCCGGAAGCACCGACUCCGCCACCCAACGAAUCCCAGGAUGACUGAGAAAACGGAGAGUCCCGAUUCGGAGGACUUAAAAACACCGAACGCCUUGCCAAGAGGUAAACUUGGUAGUUAUCCUUUCCCUUUCAAAUAUUUAAAAUAGUUUGCUUAGUUAAUUAGGUUCAUACUAUCCUAAAAAGAAAAUAAAAAUGUUAAAAAAUAGUAAGCCCCAUGUGAGUAUACGAGUAGCAUGAAACUCAUAAGUACAUUCACUGUGGUGGCAUAAAAAUAAAAUAACUAUUUCUUUUCUGCUUUAUAAAACGAAAAUAUAAAAAUAGGGAUUAAUAUUUAUUAAGGAAAGUCAACAUGAUAAAGGCUAGAUAUUUAUGGUAACACUUAAUCAGUUCCACAAAGCUUUGUUGUCUAUUUGAGCUCCACAAAAUUUAAGAAUCAAGAAGACUAGCAGAUGGAGGACAUUCCAAUCGUUGUCAGGACUGCCGACUUUCAAAUACACCUUUGCCACCUGCUAGCUACAUCAAGAGAAAUUACGUCAAAAUUCAGCUUGGGGGAGAGCACCCCCAUUUAUCCCGAUAAGUAUUUCUAUCUAUCUUUAUACUUAUACUAUAUUAAAAUAUACAUAACUAUGAAAAACCAAAUAAAGAUUUUGUGCCUAUGUAAAUAUAUGUCUUUUGCUUAGUGUGUUUAAUAAAUAAAUAAAGUGGCUAUGCCAAACUGUAUCUAAAUAAAACUCUAGCAUAGAUAUGAUGAAUAGUUGCUCUGCCUAAUUUGCAAAUUUGAAGUUCUCUCACUUGUUUAGAUAUAAUUGUUAUAAUUUAAAGCUUGCUCUAAACCUAAACUUGUGGGAUGAAAACUUGAUCUGAAGUCUAAGUUGUUAACGGAUACGAUAUGGGAAGGUUGAGCUGUUGUUUAUCUAUUCCUAGAGAUGCUAGAAUUCUGGAGAAUUUUAUCUUUGAAAAUCUUUAAAAUACUACAUGAUGAGUUCCUGUAUGAUGAGAGUUUAAAUUCCUACCACAGCCAUAUAUACAUGCUUGCUAGACUUUGAGCCACACAUUUGCUAUUUACUGCUUAUGAGCAUUGAGUGUGGUCAAGCUGUGUAGACCCUUAGGAGCUUGUCAUGUGGUUAAAUCAAGAUUCACUUGCACAUUCACUCACAUAUGCUGCUUCUACUCCGGAAGUACGCAUCCACAUAUAUCCACCCAUUUCCAUCUCCAGAACUACCCAAAAAAAUUCUACUCCUAAUUCGGGAGAGAAUAGCCAAAAACAUUUCUGUUUUUUCCCUGUGAAAUAAAUGCUCAACUUAUCUUGGUUACUACCACUUGCUAUAUUAUCUCAUGAGAUGAGUGCUCUAAAAAAAAGAGAAAAUAUGAGGAAAUAAAAAGGGACAAGUGCCCGGAACCUUGAAAGAAAAGAAAAAGUGAGACGAGAGGUAAAAAUGGACAAGUGUUCGACAGUAGAAUUAGGGGUACAAAAUACCCACCUAAGAGGAAAGAAAAACAAAAUACAAAGCAUCUCAUUCUCCUCAAAGUUUUAAAAGAGCAAGAAAGGUAUGUAUCCCCUCAAAAGAGCAAAAAGUAGAAUUAGACUUUCACCAUUGUUAUCACAAUCAUCACCAUACACCAUUCAUUCGCCACACAUGCACAUCUUGAUUUGACUUAUUGAUUUGUUUCUUUGGAUCCAUGGUUUGACUAUGUAAUAAAUGUCUUGUAAAUAUAUAUACUUUAUCUCCCACCUAUGAGCUCUAGAUAUCAAAAGCCUUAUUAGAGUAGGGUGAGAGAGAAGGCAAUGUCACUAUGCCUUAUACCACAAAUACUACAUACUUUGAGAGAAGGCAUGUACCAUCACUGCCUUGGUAAGGAUCCAGAAAUACCACAAAAGAGAGAUUUGAGAGAGUCAUACAAGGAAUCUCUAAGUUUUAUUUGAAAAUCUGCAAAAACUCCAGAGCUAUAGCUGAUCAAGAAUAAGAGACAUGGCACUUGAUUAGACCGUUCUAUCUUUUAACUACUCAAGACAGAAGUGACGGUUACAAGUCCCAUGGUGAAAGGUAAAGUGAAUAAGUUUUAAGUCUUGACAGUUUACUCUAACAUAGAGAUGAGAUCUUGUUUAAAGCACGUGUACCGUCAAUUUUCAAAGGUAUUUUAGCAACUUCUGAUCCAUCGCUGAGAUUAUCCUUGCUCAGGGACGAGCAACAGGUAAGCUUGGGGGAGUUUGUUGACGGUCAUUAAGUAUCAAAUUUAAUUAUCAAAUAAACAAAGAAAAGGAUCCAAAUGCAAUCAACAUCUAGACUUAGGGCUUUAUCUGACAGAAUUCCACGAGUUUUGGUGUUUGUCUAUUUCUGCAGGGGGUUAUCAGGAAAUACGGAAGAAAGGCCCACACGUCAGGAUUACAUAGAGAUAUUAACGUGUCGCACAAUUAUCUUACAUCUAGAAGACUCCAGAAGCCACGGGAACGAAGCGGAGGUGAAACGGGGCCUGGCCCUGGGCGCCCGCCCAGGAGACCAGGGCGCCCGCCCACCUCUGCAGUCCAAACAGGACUCUCUUUCGGGAUCAAUCUCCACCGACCUAAAGGAUCAAGGAUAACCGUUCAAUCAAUGUCGGUUUGAUCCAACGGCCCAUAUUCACUUGAAGGGACUAUAAAACUAGACCCCCUGGCCCCUGGAGGAGGGAGCCUCUCAACCCUAAUUCAUUAUUACUCAAGGGAGAAGAAGCCUCUGAUCAAGCCUAGAGCCACCACAUCAAUUAGACAUCUAGAUUAACAUAGCUACAUAGGAUUAGAACUAGAAGGAGUCAAUCUUCGAUUGGUUUCCGGAUUUGUCAAGAGGAUUCUUGGUAAUUCUCUAAUUGUUCAUCUUUGUUCUUCAAUAUUAUGAAUAUGACAUUGUUCUACUUCAAUAUAUUGCUUAUGACUUUGCUCUACUUGUUUAUAGUCAAGAUUAUAUUGUUCUUAGUUUAUCAUAGUUAUAUACUUGGCUUAGUUAGAUUGGAUCUAUAUACAUGUUUAGGAUCGUAUAGAGUUUAUCCAUUGGAUCCAUGGGUAAAUAAUAGAUAUUAUGUAGGCGUGGUGCUUAUACCGUAUUUAUCUGUGAUUGUACCCAAUAUGCCAUAUCGCGGGGUAGUUCGUGAUAGUGACAGCUUCAUUGAUUCUUAUAUAGUCCCCCUCUCAUGUAUUGGGUUGGCAGAGCAACAUUAUUACAGGGAAGUGAUUGCUAUGUUUCUCAUUUACCUUGCUAAUAUCACUAUGCUUGGGCGUAGUCUUGUCUCACAAUGAUUGCUAAGUAUAAUUGCACUAACUAUGAUAAUGCUAGACUAUUUAGUUGAGAAUAACUUAGGAAAUAUUCUUGUAGUUCAUUCUAAUUCCAUUCUAAUGACUUUCUAGAGUAUCUAAUUGAGGUGCUUAUCAUAUUUAUUAUGUGGCUAAGUUAUGCUGAUAAGAUUAAUUAUCUUUGUCACUAUUCAUUACUUUAUAUAUUCUUUAUGUGACACUUACCCCUGUAUGAAAAAGUUAGAUAAAUGUUCUCAAUUAUACAUGCAAUGAUAGAUACUCAAUCUCAUAUUCUAUUCUAUAAUCAAUAUUGAUGGUUGCUAAUCCCUUCCCAGUGGUAAAAAUAUAAAUAACGAUACCUGGAAUACUUCCCGGUUAAAAUGCUACAUCGGUAUUAAUCUGUGCGCUUGCAGAUCCCAUUCAUUAUUUAUUUUAGAUGAGCAAUUGCAUAUUUCAAUACCGCGUCUCUCAUAUCAUGCUGGGGAUGACAACUUGGCUUAAGUGGUAUGAGGGAUAUGUUUGGCAUUUUUGGCACCGUUAUCAGAAUUAGAAAACUAAGUCUACUUUUGGUAAUGAAGUUAAGAAUACUCAACAUUCAUAUCUCUUCAUCCAUGCCAAUUUGGUCCUUGCUCCAGUUGACAAUCUUGUAGAACUCGUUUAGUACUCCAACUUUGUUAACUACAUCAUCUCCUAAUUCGCCACGGUUUGGGAGUUAAUCAUCGUCAAAGUGGCUCUAUCAGACAAGCGUCGCGGGUUCUGAAUGGACGUUGUCCUCGCCGUCGUGGCCGACCAGCGCAGCACCUGGCUGCCAUUUGGCGACCGUACGCCGGUGUUGGCCCCACUCAUUAGGUCGUCGACGCCAUCAUGGACGCCACGACACCCCGUACUCGCCAGCGCCCGUCCACUCUCUCCCUCCCUCUCUCUCGUGACUCUGACGGCGAAAGCGCCAUCGCCAUUGCCACCGAGAGCUUCUCGAGCUCCUCGCGCCUUCGUCUCUUGUCUCACCUCUCCUCCGAGCACCUCCAAGUCCGCCUCGAGCUCCUCCAUCUUCUCCACCUCUUGGCUGGACGAGAUCUCCCCGAGGUGAGCCACAUUUCGUGAGUUUGCCGUCGUCGGGUUCAUGGCCGUCGCGACCUCGAUUCUGGCGAACCUCGCCGCUGCUCCAUCCUUGUCUUCUUUCUUCUCUCCGAGUCGCGUUAGCACUUGCCUAGUUCAAGGUCGUGGUCUGUGUCAUGCCAUUCCGGCCUUGGUGCCACCAUCGUGCGGGAACACGGCCACUGUUGACACUUGCUAACACCACUUGAAUACUAGGUUGUCAUCCCCAGCAUGGCACUGGAGUGUACUAUGGUAUUUAUACACACACAGAUAAAUCCGCAAGCGCACGGAUACCGUUGUAGCUUUUACCCGGUAAAAGGUUUUAUCGUAUCCACAAGGAAACGGGAGAACUGAUCUACGCUCUAACUUAACCUAGAUAGAUAGGUAGGUGUAAAUAGGAAAGAUAGUAGAAUUGAAUAAGAACAAUAUUAAAGGUAAGAUAACAAUGGGUGAUAAUAUGGGAAUAGAGAGUAGAGCAAUCUAGUAUAUGGGCGAUGGUAGGAGGAUAGAGAGGAUAACUAUGGUUUCUCUACUUCAAAGGGGUAUGUCUAAGUCUGGGACGAACCACGUGAUAAGAAUACACCACAAAGGAUGCUUAUCCAUAGGCCGAUAAACCCUACCAGUCUUGCUAACAGGAGGUGGACUACAGGGGACCAACGUAACUGUCACCUACGCGGCCUACCACAUGAUCUGGCUAGACAGGGGAUAUCCACAAGUAAUCUAGGUCUAAGCACCACGCUUACACCUAUACUACAACUCUCACCUAUAGCGUCCUAUAGAUUAAAGUACUCAAAAGAGUUGUGAACCAGAACAUACAUGGAUAGUAAUUGCAUAAUGAAAUAGAAGUAGAUUACCAGAGUCAUCCCAUGAGCAAGCUUGAUUAGAGCUUGAUCAUGGUGAAGUACAACCGGAGGAAGAACCAACAGGCCGGCCUCUCCUCCAAUCCUCCCUCGCUCUCCAUCUCGCUACUAUCUAGAUCUACUAUAGUUUAGAGAUGAGAGGAGAGCUCUCAUCUCCAAACCCUAGCUUUUGCUCUGUCUAUGAAUAAUGAAUAGGGAUCAAGGGGUGCCUCCUCCAGGUGCCAGGAGGCCUGCUUAUAUAGUCCCCUCAAGUGAAUCUGGGCCGUCGGAUCAAACCGACAUUGAUCGCACAGUUUUCCUUGAUCCUUUAGGUUGGUGGAGCAUAAUCCGCGAGGUUGAUCGUGAUUGGUGGAAAAAGCAGGGCGGGCGCCCUAAGGAGUAGGGCGGGCGCCCUUUUCGUAAGCCCGCUCGGCUUCCCGUUCGUUCCUGUGGCUUCUAGAGUCUUCUAGAUGAUAGAAAAUCGCACGGCACGUUAAUAUCUCUAUGUAAACCCGACAUGUGGGCCUUUCCUCCAUAUUUCAUGAUAACCUCCUGUAGAAAUAGACAAACACCAAAACUCGUGGAAUUCUGUCAGAUAAAACCCUAAGUCUAUGUGUUGGUUGCAUUUGGAUCCUUUUCUUUAUUUAUUUUAUUAUUAUAUUUGGUACUUAAGGACCGUCAACAACUCCCCCAAGCUUACCUCUUGCUCGUCCCUGAGCAAGGAUGGACUCAAGAGUUUCUUUAGUGGUUUUAUGCCUUAAAGGUACACAUGCGGCUAGGGUAAACUGUUAAGAUUUAAAACUUACUCAUAUUACCUUCCACCAUGGGGCUUGCAACCGUCACUUGUGUCUUGAGCAGUUAAAAGAUAGAACGGUCAAGUCAAGCGCCAAAGAUUGAGUGUGUAGCAUUUUAGCUAAUAUGAUUAGGAGUGUGGGAUCACAAGGGUGGAAGGACUAAACAUGUUGAAUCGAUUGGGUUGGUUAACCUAGAGUUGUAAAUCAUACAUGUUUGUCUCUUUUAUUCAUAUGAAUGCCAAAACUAAGGAGAAGCUUAUAAAAGUGAUAGUCAAGUACCUUAAGAUGUUACCUUACUUGAAGAGUGAUGGUACAGUAUCACCUUGUGGAAGCUUUCCUUUCUUAGCGGUUGUGCAUCGUGUUCGUGGCACCCUCCAUGGAUCAUCUCUUAUGAGCUAUGUCUUCCUUGUGUAAAUUGUUAAACUUGAUGUGUGUCUCUCUUUGUCUCCAAUGUGAGUUUAUCUCAGGACUUCCCAGGUCGAUAUUGAAAGUUUUCCUACAGGGGUUAGUCCGACAAAAUAUACCAAUGUCUACACAAGCAGUUUUAGUUCAAUAACCGAACUAGACUCCAUGUCAAAUCAGAUUAAGGAAGACUAUUUAACCUAAGCACCACGCUUAAUUUAAAUGCCAAUGGAAGUAUGCCGAGUACUUCCAAACCAACACUUACUUGUGAAUAGACAAAGGUAGUAUGACAACAUUAUAGAGAUCUACUCAAGUGGAGAUAAAAAUAGAAUGAUUAGCGUUUAACAAAUUGAGCAUGUCUCAAAGGUAGGGACAACCAACAUAGGAACAUGACAAAGGAUGUUUUUAUGUAAGGUACUCCCCCAAGCUUGAAUUUUGCAAAAUUCAAGUUUGGAUGAAUUUAAUUCAGUGUUGCAUAAUGAUUGGUUGGAGAUACCUUGUGCUUGUCGUUCAUCCGAUCUUCUUGCUCCAAUCCUGGAAAGGUUAGUGACAAGAAUACCUGAAGGAAUAUUUUCACAAUUAUCGUUAUACGCUCAAUGCACAAGGCAAUAUGGCAAGGUCAUGUUAUGAUCUGAUAAGCGCUUAUUUUAGGACACUAAGCUUGUCCUUGGGAAACCAUCAAUUUAUGUCGGCAAAGUGGUUUCCCUACCAAUGCUGACAUAUAUCAAGAUCAACUCAACGAGAUCUGCAAUAUUUAUUAUAGACAUAUGCAUCGUCAACUGCCCUUUUAAAGUUUUUAUAAAUAGAAAGGAAGAGGGGGUUGGAGAUCUCAAAUGUGGUGAUGUUGGAGAGACCAAUAGAUUGGGAAGAUGUUGCAUAUGAGCAUGGAGUAAAUGAAGUGGCUAUGAAAUAAAUUCCAUGCUCAUUAAUGUUAUCUCCGUCUCCAAUCUGAAUGUUCAGAGUUUCUCCUAGAUUGGUCUCACCAUGUCCUCUUUUGUAGUUGGAUGAAUAUCAUCUUCAAAGGGAGUCAAGAACUCACCAUUUGAAAUUGAGCCAAAGUCAGAAUCCAUUAAGGCUUCUUUCUUAUCCAUCCAUUCUACACAUUCUAGCCAUUUAGAACAUGUGAUCAGGAAAGGGGAGGUGUUAGAAUUUUCUAUAUGGCUUAGCUCUCCUUCUAUGACAUUACUUGACAUGUUAUCCUCAUGGUCUUUAUAACUCCUAUGGUUUGAUCGUCUUGAUGGGUUGCUAGGAUCAUCAUGAGACUGUAAAGGAGAGGGAUAAGAGGGGUCUCUAAGGUCAAGGAUGGAUUUAGAAUUUGUGAACAUGGAAGGGGAGUAGACAGAAUCUUCUAUAUGGUUUAGCUCUCCUUCACUUGAUAUUUCAUCCUCGACUUCUUCAUAACAGGAACUAGGAUAUUCUCUAAGAGAACCAUUAUUGCAAGGAUUUGAAUUAUCCCUGCUUGAAGAUCUCUUAUGGAACCAGAAGUCUAAACCAUCAGUAUCUGAAAGAUUUAAGGUCGGAAUUCCUUCCCCCCUUAGAGAAUUUUGGGGUAUUGAAGGUUUAGGAUCGAUAGAUAAAGUUUGGGAUUGAAGUGGUUGUGAUCUGGCUAUCGAAACUUCUUCUUGUCUAGGAACUGGUUCUUUCCCUUUCUUAGGGAUAUAAAUGCUAGGAAACUUUCCACACAAUGUAUCAAUUAAAUCCCUAGCUUCACUAGCAGGUAGGUGAUAAAAGGAUCCUCUAGAGGCUGUAUUCAAGGUUUGCUUAUUUUCCCUAUUAAGGCCCUCAAAAAAGUGAAUUAGAAGAACUUCUUCUUGAAUAGAAAGCUUUUGGCCAGUGAGAGUAAGGUUAAUAAAGCGGUCCCAUGAUUUGCCAAGAGAUUCUUCUUCUAGUAGUCUAAAAGAAAGAAUCUCACGCCGAAGUUCUGCCACUUUGGAGAUUGGAAAAUAUUUAAAAAGAAAACUAUUAUAUAACUCCUUGCAAUCUCCAUGAACACUCCCUACUUUGAGUUUGUACCAAUGUCUAGCUUUUCCUGUUAAAGAGAACGGAAAGAGCUUCCAUUUAAGGGUCUCAUCGGACAUGCCUUCUAUGCGAAGCAGGUCACAAACUCGAUAAGACUCUCUUAGUUGUGUGUAUGGGUUUUCCUCACCUUCUCCUAAGAAAGGUUGUUUUUUAACAAAUUCUAUGUAUUCGGGGUCUAUCUCAAAACUAGAUGCUAUGAUAGGCUUUGAAGAUUUUGGUGGUUCGAGAUGUGUGCCCAUAGGUCUAUGAAAUCCAUAGAUAGACAUGUUUGAAUUCAUGAUAGACCAGAGAUCAAGGAUUAGAUAAGAAUAGUAGAGAUAAGGCGAAGGAUAAAAGCAAAAAAUAUUUUUUUUAUUUUUUAUUUUUUAGAAAAUGAUUAAGCUAGUUCGCAGUCAACUCAGCAACCGUUUCCCCGGCAACGGCGCCAAAAAUGCUUGUUGACACUUGCUAACACCACUUGAAUACUAGGUUGUCAUCCCCAGCAUGGCACUAGAGUGUACUAUGGUAUUUAUACGCACACAGAUAAAUCCGCAAGCGCACGGAUACCGUUGUAGCUUUUACCCGGUUAAAGGUUUUAUCGUAUCCACAGGGAAAUGAGAGAAUUGAUCUACGCUCUAACUUAACCUAGAUAGAUAGGUAGGUGUAAAUAGGAAAGAUAGUAGAAUUGAAUAAGAACAAUAUUAAAGGUAAGAUAACAAUGGGUGAUAAUAUGGGAAUAGAGAGUGGAGCAAUCUAGUAUAUGGGCGAUGGUAGGAGGAUAGAGAGGAUAACUACGGUUUCUCUACUUCAAAGGGGUAUGUCUAAGUCUGGGACGAACUACAUGAUAAGAAUACACCACAAAGGAUGCUUAUCCAUAGGCCGAUAAACCCUACCAGUCCUGCUAACAGGAGGUGGACUACACGGGACCAACGUAACUGUCACCUACGCGGCCUACCACACGAUCCGGCUAGACAGGGGAUAUCCACAAGUAAUCUAGGUCUAAGCACCACGCUUACACCUAUACUACAACUCUCACCUAUAGCGUCCUAUAGAUUAAAGUACUCAAAAGAGUUGUGAACCAGAACAUACAUGGAUAGUAAUUGCAUAAUGAAAUAGAAAUAGAUUACCAGAGUCAUCCCAUGAGCAAGCUUGAUUAGAGCUUGAUCAUGGCGAAGUACAACCGGAGGAAGAACUGACAGGCCGGCCUCUCCUCCAAUCCUCCCUCGCUCUCCAUCUCGCUACUAUCUAGAUCUACUAUAGUUUAGAGAUGAGAGGAGAGCUCUCAUCUCCAAACCCAAGCUUUUGCUCUGUCUAUGAAUAAUGAAUAGGGAUCAAGGGUGCCUCCUCCAGGGGCCAGGGGGGCUGCUUAUAUAGUCCGCUCAAGUGAAUCUGGGCCGUCGGAUCAAACCGACAUUGAUCGCACGGUUUUCCUUGAUCCUUUAGGUCGGUGGAGCAUAAUCCGCGAGGUUGAUCGUGAUUGGUGGAAAAAGGAGGGCGCGCGCCCUAAGGAGUAGGGCGGGCGCCCUGUCCCAGAGCCCGCUCGGCUUCCCGUUCGUUCCUGUGGCUUCUGGAGUCUUCUAGAUGAUAGAAAAUUGCGCGGCACAUUAAUAUCUCUAUGUAAUCCCGACAUGUGGGCCUUUCCUCCAUAUUUCCUGAUAAGCCCAUGUAGAAAUAGACAAACACCAAAAAUCGUAGAAUUCUGUCAGAUAAAACCCUAAGUCUGUGUGUUGGUUGCAUUUGGAUCCUUUUAUUUCUUUAUUUGAUUAUUAUAUUUGGUACUUAAGGACCGUCAACAGCCACCGCACCGCCGCGCUCACUGCCGACGACCACCCCGCACGUGAGCAGACUCACCGGAGCCAUUAGGGUUAGGCGUUUCUACCUAGAAAGCUUCGUGCUGUCUCACUCAUGCUUAAGCCACCCUUCCCCGACGUUUUACCGGUCGGAGAUGGCCGGCGUAUGCCGAGGUAGCUCCACCGUGCCGCCAUGGCCGACGGCGACCUCUCUGCGUCGCUCUAACCCUAGAGCCACCUACCUCUAUCGACGCGGAAUCACUGAAGGAGCACGUUGGUGCCCUUGGAUCCGCCGAAGAAGCUCACUGUCGGCGAGCAUUCGCCGGCGAGUGUGUUCUCUGUUUUCUGGGACGCUGGCACGCGGGUCCCACUGUCAGUGACAUAACGGCUCCCUCCUCUCUUUUAUUUAAAAUCCAGAUUUCUUGCAAUCUUGCAAAAAUCAUAUCUCCAGUUUUUGAGCUCCAAAAGUUGUGAAACAAAUUUUGUGAUGAUCCAUGGGAUGGCUAGUUUUUAAUAAAAACAUAAUAUGCACCAUGUGUUCUAUGAAAAAUAAUUAUUAUGAAUUAAUCUUGUUAAUUAUGUGUAAAUUCAUACCUUUUGAUAUACUGAUCCAAUUGCUGUGAAAAUUUUAUGCUAUGCUCUAGAUAGUACUAGAAUGCUCUAUUAAAUAUCUCAUGAUUUUUGGAGUGCUGUAUCUCUGAUAUGUAAUUUAUGUCCUUCCUAUUACUUAAAUCCAUGUUUAAAUCAUAUUAAAUGUUAUAUGCUUAUGCUGGUGUUCUCCUUUGGUGUCAAGCUUGUUUAUAGUAGUAGCAACAUGUAAAUACUCUGAAAUCUGUUUGACACUAUCAAUGCCAUGUUUCUUAAUUUAUGAAAUAAGCACCUUGUUACAUGUUAAUUACUUAUCUUAAGUUUGGCAUGUGCAAUUGCUCUAAAAAUUUUAUGGUAAUGUUCUGGUGCCAUGCUUGUGCCUCUGUAAUUUUUGUAGAGUUUUCUGAGCACUUUUGUUGGUAUCUUGUAAUUAUGUCCUUUUAUGGAAUUAAAUUGAUAAAUGCCUUGUUAUUAUGUAUUUAGUGGUCAACAUAUGAUGUUCUGGUAAUCUUAGAUUAUGCUUGUGCUUAUAAGCCACUUGGUUGGCAUUAAAUAUGUUUUUACUAUGUCAUCAAAUAAUUAAUUGAAGGUUCUAUAGCUGUUCUUGACAGCAAGGGAGUAAUCUGAUCUUUGCUUGAUGAUAACUUGGUUUUCUGACUAACUUGUCUAAAUCAAAGAUGUUGUAAACUUUGCAUGCUAGCUGCAGUUUAAAAUUUGGGAUCAAUUGAAGUAACACCCAAAAUCUUGUUUCCAAGUUAUAGGAAUUAAAUUGAUUUAUUUAAGUACUUUUGUGAGCAUUUGAAUCUAGCAAAUAAAUAAUUUUGUGCAAAUUAAAAUUCAUCAUAAGUUUAGAAACAUGAAUUUGCAUUCAUGCUGGAGCAUAUUUUUAUUUGUGCUGUGAGAUUUUGGAUUGAAGUUAAUUGUGUUCAAAAUUCUAUUUGAAAAGGGCUUUGAAAAAAAAAUAAAAAAAGAGAAGAAAGGGGAAAGAACCCCGCAGCCAACCCCUCACGGCCUGCUUGCCCCCGCACGCGGCCCAGCCCAACUCGCAGGCCAGCCAGCCCAGGCCUUGGCGCGUCCCCUUCUCCCCUCCCUCCUCUGGCUGAUGGAUGGGCCCGUUCUUCUCUCCCUGACGCGUGGGGCCCGCGGAUCAGCGCUCUCUUCUCCUUCCUUGCGUAACCGAGCAGGACACCGGCUGCGUCGGGAAAGAGAUCCGACCCGAUCCCAUCUUGGACGGGAUUUGCUACCCCCGAGGCCCUAUAAAGCAUCCCGCGACGCCCCGCGUCGUUCUUUUGCGUCUAAAUUGCGAAACCGAGCCCUAGCCGCCGUCUUCCUCAGCUUGGAAAUCUCGCUGAGGUCGGGGACGAACUGCCGCACGCCGCGAGCCCCGCUCCUUGCCCUUCGGCCCCAACCGAGCACCUCAUUGAACUCGCGGUGAGCUCCUCUACCCCGUGCUGUUUUCCUUUCGCGAAACGGUGCUCGGAAUCAAGAAGCCCGUCGUCGCCGGCGAGGUUCUUUCGGCCGGCAAUGGAAGCCACCGCACCGGAGCAGGAGCCGGCCGGCCACUGGCCCCCUGGACGCGUCCAAACGGUCGGAUCAAUCUUGGAUGGCCAGGAUUAGAAGAUACCCCUUCGGGGGUAUUUUGUUAAAGAGACCCUCAGUUUUCCUUUAUUUGAACCCGCCGUCCAUUAGGUAAUAUCCAAAGUACGCUUCCUCGGCUCAGAAGACGUAAUCGGCUGGCUGAGUUCAAAUGGCGCUUUCUGAAAAUUACAGUUUUGCCAUUGGGAGUAUUUUGGCCAUAAAAUACUCAUUUUAACUCCGUUUUUGUCCAUUCAAAUUCCGUUAGAUUCGUAUUUACGAGCUCUACAUGUUAGAAGUAUUAGUUUACUGUUUUGAAACUUUUUAUUUCUGCAGUAGCAUUUAAUAAAUUAUUUCUCUAUAGGAAAUCUUGGAAAAUGCAUAACUCCUCCGUUUUAAUUCCGAUUUUCGUGAACUUUACGUUUGUGUGAUCGUAGCGCUGCGUAGAAUAUUUUGAUAAACUUUUAUCUUUGUUUUACCACUGUUUGGUGUAUUGUUCUAAUUAUAUCUUGUUUGCUUCGUGUAUGAUUGUCUGCAUUGGAUUGCGUGUUGUUGAUUGAUGAUUGGGAUUAGACGGUGAGCCGUACGUUGGUGCUCCAGAUCAAGCAUUUGAAGACCAGCAGGCUCAGGAGAGCUUUGAGCAAGGCAAGUAUAACUUGGGAUCGUCCUUGUUACCUAUUCGCUUAUAACUACACAUAUAUAUCAUAUGCAUGCUAUCACCUUGUCGACCUUAGCAAAAUCAUAGAUGAUUGUUACCUGUAUUCCUUGUUACCUACUUGAUAUGCAUUUGGUGUAGAUGUGCUAGUGCUUGAUAUAAUCCAUGAUCUUGUAAGAUAAUUAAUAGCUAUGCAAUGAACGUUAAAUGAUGACAAAUAACUGUAUGCACUGUUCGCCUAAACGGCCGUUUAGACCGUUUAAACACCGUGUAAACGCUACACAAUGGUACACCGUUUCCGUUUAAUCAUCUAUUUAGUCCGUUUAAUUGACCGUUUAGCCCGUUUAAUGGACUGUUUAGCCCGAAUAAUGGCUAAACGGCAGGUGACCGACUGUUUACCGUUUAGCGUUUAGGAAAACAUUGACUGUAUGAGAUCUUGUCUGUAAGUGAUCACCGGGACAACAGUGCAACCAUGAGGGCUAUAAUAGCUCUGGCUUUAGCUCAGUAUGAAGACGUUUUCUAGCUUGUUAGAGGUUACCUGAAAGGGCGGAGGGGCUGAACCGUUUUGGGUAUAGUGUGACCUUUGUCUGUAUGAGUAUAGGCUGCGAGUCAUUGUGCCAUCGGAAGGGGGGCUCUAUAUCUGCGCGCAAAGGAAACCUUGCGGCCCUAACAUGUUAGACGAACUUUUGAAAGGCUUCAUAGUGAUCCCUGCCGACCUUCCUUGGAAGUGGGUUAAGAGAUUAGCUACCUCGGGCGAAAGGGUAAAUCAUGACUCAUGGGUAAAGAUGUACAACCUCUGCAGAGUGUAAAACUGGUAUACUAGCCGUGCUCACGGUUAUGAGCGGCCUUAGGGGUUCUUGCUGCGCCGACAAUGAGCUUAUUAAGUUGUUAUGUUCAUUUGAUUAUCGUUUAUGCUAUGAAUUAAUUAUGCUUACACUCGAUCAUGUGAUUAAUGAAUUAUUUCUACUACCUUGACAUUUGCUAUUUAAUUAUGAACUUGCUAUCCAAUAUUAAAAGCUAAUUGCAGUCAAACCAGUGUCAGCUAUUUGAGCCUCAUGAAUCCCUGGUUAUACUUGUUGAGUACGAUAUGUGCUCACUCUUGCAAUCUCCCAACACCUCAGGAUAUGAUAAUGAAGAUGACUGGAAUGAGGAUUAUCGUUAUGAGUACUAGGUUUGGAGUCAACCAGUCAACAGUGUCCCUGUGUGGAGUUUCCGUCGAGAGCGUGGUUUACUUUAUGCUAUCAUUUUUGUAUGAGACUAUGUGAUAUAUUAUAUUCCGCUAUGUAAUAGACACAGCAAUGGUACAUUUGAGAUUUGUCUACUUAUGUGUGCGACUGUUUCUGGGGCACAUAUGAGUCUUUUAUGCAGCCUAUUUUGUUCUUAAAAUAUGGGUGUGACAAAUUGGUAUCAGAGCUUUGUUGACUGUCGGACGCAAGCCUAGUUAGAAAUUGGCCGUCUUAAGGUUUUGAAAUUGCUACAAAAUCCUUGUUCUACAAACCUUGAUAUUUUCUUCUACAAUAUAUCCUAUUCAUCUUCACCUUGUCGCUUCUUUUAAAAGACUUGUUCUCAUCACCACUCCUUGCUUUGAAUAUGCUUUUAGAACCUUCUCUUACCACCUGCUUACAUAGUUGAAAGAGAAUUUUAGGAUCUUUGCCCUUAAUAGGAAGAGAACGAUAGUACCGCAAGUUGAGUUAAUGCUUGAAGUGUGAACCUUUGAUGCUUGGUUUGGUUUGUUAUUAUGCUUAUGCUUGAUUUGGAUCUUUGUAAUGAGUGUAAUGACCUUGUGGAUUUCUUCUGCAAUUUCAUUUAGUUUAUAGGCUUAAGGCAUAAGGAUUAAUGAACUAAAUAGUGGGGUUAGUUAAAAUUCUGUAUCUGUCCUUUGCUGUUUUCUGGAGCAGUCUGCAAAGAAUCUGGUACAUCUCAAAAUCUGUUCGUGCAAUGUUCAUGAAAUUUUUCUGGGAACAAGUAGACUUUCCUAUCUUUCCAAUGCCGUAAGAAUGACCAUAUUAUCUAUUAUGAGCUGUGAGUUAUGACUGUUUAAAGUUGAGGUGUCUGCGCAGUCUGGAAUUCUAGAACAGUUUCGGUUGUACACAGUUUUUAAUUAACCUAACGUUGGAAUCUGGUAAUAUGAUCUAAAUGAAAGUUGUAGAAAAUUUCUUUAUCUUUACAAAGGUGUACAGCAUGUAUCCUUUUGAAUUCUGGAACUCGAGAUAUGACUGAUUUUCUGAUCUGCUGAUGUUGGAUAUUACCCAGAAAAUUUCAGAUUCCGUUAACUCUUGUAAUUGUCAUGUUGGACAUUACUAAGAUGUGUUUAUAUGCCUUGGAAUGCAGAUGGCAGCAAGGGGAAGAGGCAGGGGCAGAGGCCGUGGCAAUGGCAAUGGCAAUGGUGGCAAUGCCCCAAUCACCGUGGAGGAACUCAUGCAAACCUAAAAUCAGAUGAUGCACGUUUUCAUGCAGCACCUGCAGCAACAACCUCCACCAACACCACCACCUGUUCAUGUGAGGGACAAGCGUGGAGAGUUUAUGAAGGGAAGACCUCUGGUAUUUACACACUCAGCUGAUCCCAUGGAGGCAGAUGAUUGGUUACGUGCUGUGGAGAGGCAACUAAACAUAGCUGCGAACACAUGGUUUUUACAUAACCAUUGUGGAGUACCCUUGUUGUGUGAUGAGCGAUUGUCAACAUGCCAACAUUUUGGUGGGUUGUUGGUUCCGUGGUUCUACUGAUAUCCUGGCACAGGGUUAUGUGUCGAAACGGUGUCUCUUGGCUUCGUGAUGUGCAGGUGUGGAGUCUGGAUGCGGUGGCAAUGGUCGGGUGAAGGUCAAGUAGGGCGUGCCGUGCUGACGGACCGGUUGCGGUGAAAGGCGGACGUGAGGCUUGGACUGACGGACCAGACGACCGGGUGGCCAGCUGCGGUAGCUGACACUUAGGACAUCGAUAAGCGCAAGUGUACACGGCGGGGGACGCGUACGGGCUACGCUACUCGCGGCGGGUUUCGCGGGUUUGGGCCUCAAAACCCGGGCGGAGGUCCCGAUGCGGACGGAUGGCACGUGGCGGCAUCGGUGAGAUCGCUUCGGAGCGAGGCUACCGAUGAGGAGGCGCGGUGGCCGUCGGAUUUAGGUCAUGUCGAGUUGGACUAGAAUGCCCCUGGGGCUAGCUAGUUCGCUCAAAAAUAUCUAGGGACAUUUGGGGAAUAUGUAAUAUGCCUGAUAAAUAAACCGGGGAGUUCCCCAUCUCCCCUUACCCCACUCUCCACCUCUCUCCCACCGCUCUUCCUGCUGUUUUCCCCGUAGCCCUUCUCUGGUUUUAGCUGGUCAUGUGAGAAGUCAAAAAUUUGUGUAACAAACUUGUGAUUUUCGAGUUGGGAAUGGAGGCCCGUAUCCUCCAUGUGUCCUGCGGGAUUUCUAACUUGAGCCUGUGAUCUUAGUUCUUCUCUUUAUGCUGUGUUUUUCGUUUUUGGGAAGUUUUUCGUUCUUGUCUGUGAUCUGUGAUUCAUGAAGUUUGAGUUGGGUUCGAGCCAUGAUUCUUUAGGGAUAGCUCACCAACAUCAUGGAGAUCAUCUGUGCCAAGUUUGAGAGUGAAUCGUUUUGUUUUGAUGGAGCUUCAUUCGAUUUUUGGUUGAGUCGCCCUGCUGUUCAUAGCGCCCAGGCUCAUCCUGUUCUGCAUCCCCUCCGCGUGCGUUCUCUCCUCUCUGUCUGUUGUGUCUGGGCUGGGAAGGACAUCAGUGAAGAUUUGUGCUGAGCGCCCUCGUACUGCUCGAUUUCUUUUGCAAAUCAAUACUCAGCGUGGAAUCUAGCAGUGCAGCAUCUGGAGUAGUACUGGGUGGAGCACGUCAUCUAAUCAAGAUUGUCUUUUCUUGUUUCUUGUCUUUAGCUCUUGAUUGGUUAUCAGCUUUUCAUCCAACCGUGAUUUAAUUCAAGCAUUUCUUGGUCCACGCUUGGGGAUUCAAGCAACGAAGGACACUGCAGUACAGAUUGUGACCAGGUCAUUGCUAGCACUCGCCAGGAACUCUGGCUGCUCACGUUGAGCAGGAAGAUGACAUUGCAGUUCUGACUGAUUUGUUUUUGGCUCAGUGAAGUUCUACUCUUUGCGUUCGACAGCUAAUCUUUUGGCAAUUGUUUUAUUCCAUCUUGCUUGAAGUAUUCACGGUUGAAAUUUUAUUUCCCUCAGUGAAUGGAUCAAUCAGAGGACAUGAGCACCUAACUGUGCAGACUCAAGAACUCUUCCACUCUGUUCGGUGUUACUUCAAUUUUCAGAAGAUUUUUUUUGGUCUUUUUCCUCAGCUCCGAUUUUCUGUUUUACGUGUACCUCAGUCGUCUGGGCUCUGAAUUCAGUUCCGUCUGUUGUGUUGGAUUUCUAUCACUCCAAAGAAUUUUUAAGUGCUCCUGUCACUAGUUGAUUUGAGUAUUUUAGUUUUGGAACGUGCUUGUGUUGGGCGGUGAUUUUGGGACAGUGGCCAAAAAUAUUUCGAAAGAAAUUUGAGGCUCCCAUUCACCCCCCCUCUGGUCGCCGUUUUCGGUCCUUCAAU
rnacentral:lncRNA from 1 species